rnacentral:rRNA from 1 species
ACGCUCGACACCUACUGGAGGCAGCAGUGGGGAAUAUUGCACAAUGGGGGAAACCCUGAUGCAGCAACGCCGCGUGAAGGAAGACGGUUUUCGGAUUGUAAACUUCUGUUCUUAGUGAAGAUAGUGACGGUAGCUAAGGAGCAAGCCACGGCUAACUACGUGCCGGCAGCCGUGGUAAUCUGAGCGGGCUGGCAAGGC